UUAGUAUGCAUGAGUUUAAUGUUCUAUUAAAUGAUGUAAGAUCAUGUUUCUUGUGUGGAAAAUGAUUUGAAUGACAAGCUUUUAGACUUAUUAUUCAUAUUGGGACAUAGUAAGCAAAAGUGUCAUAAAGGGGCACUUGAACUAGAAAAUUGUUGAACUACAACUUAGAGACAUGAUGAUAGGCCACUGGAAAUCUACUAUAUUCCAUGUUUUAGACAUGAUGACAUAGAGAUAGGCCAUUGAGACAGUUACUAUAUUCCGUGUUUUAGACACGAUGACAUAGAGGCAGGCCUUUGGGACAUGUGCUGUAUUCCGGAUUUUAGAUCCAAUGAAACAAUGAUGAACCACUGGGACCUGAGACGGACUUAUUCGCUUGCAUGCCAUUAUGCUCAUUCGCACAUACUUGUGAGGGUCGCUCCCUACAAGUCGGCACUUCGGAGAUAGCCAUCGCGACAUAUGCUCGCCCGUGCGGGAUUGGGCUCCAAAAUGGGAUGCCGUGGGGGAAGCUCAUUCCUAGAGUAGAGAUGUUGACUACCACGGGGCAAUUGUUGGCACGGCGCAGGCCGGACUACCUACGGGUAGCUUCCACAGGAUUGGGUUACUGGUGACAUAUUGUACCUUUUUGGACAUUCACUAGAAUAGUAAACAAUGACAUCUUUACUAUUUACAUUGUGGAUAUUGGGUUAGUUGCAUACUUAUGCAUUUACAUGUUGAAUACUCUUGUGC
rnacentral:lncRNA from 1 species